rnacentral:rRNA from 1 species
CCUACGGGAGGCAGCAGUGGGGAAUUUUCCGCAAUGGGCGAAAGCCUGACGGAGCAAUACAGCGUGAGGGAAGACUGCCUAUGGGUUGUAAACCUCUUUUUUCAGGGAGGAAUAAAAUGACGUGUACCUGAAGAAUAAGCAUCGGCUAACUCCGUGCCAGCAGCCGCGGUAAGACGGAGGAUGCAAGUGUUAUCCGGAAUCACUGGGCGUAAAGCGUCUGUAGGUGGUUUAAUAAGUCAACUGUUAAAUCUUGAGGCUCAACUUCAAAAUCGCAGUCGAAACUAUUAGACUAGAGUAUAGUAGAGGUAAAGGGAAUUUCCAGUGGAGCGGUGAAAUGCGUAGAUAUUGGAAAGAACACCGAUGGCGAAAGCACUUUACUGGGCUAUUACUAACACUCAGAGACGAAAGCUAGGGUAGCAAAUGGGAUUAGAUACCCCAGUAGUCCUAGCCGUAAACUAUGGAUACUAGAUGUUGAACAGAUCGACCUGUGCAGUAUCAAAGCUAACGCGUUAAGUAUCCCGCCUGGGAAGUAUGCUCGCAAGAGUGAAACUCAAAUGAAUUGACGGA